UUGGACGGCCAUAGGGGUCGGGUCCCACCCAGACUCAUUCGAACCUGGAAGUUAAACCGGCCUCCGUAGCGGUGUGUACUUCAUUGCGAGGGAAAUCCCAUUGCGAGGGAAAUCCGUUAAGCUGUCCACC
rnacentral:rRNA from 1 species